rnacentral:rRNA from 1 species
GACGAACGCUGGCGGCGUGCCUAAUACAUGCAAGUCGAACGGUCUUUUCUAUGGAAGCUUGCUUCCACUGAGAAGAUAGUGGCGAACGGGUGAGUAACACGUGGGUAACCUGCCCAUAAGAGGGGGAUAACACCCGGAAACGGGUGCUAAUACCGCAUAGUUUUCUUGAUCGCAUGAUUGAGAAAGGAAAGACGGCUUUUGUGCUGUCGCUUAUGGAUGGACCCGCGGCGUAUUAGUUAGUUGGUGAGGUAACGGCUCACCAAGACGAUGAUACGUAGCCGACCUGAGAGGGUGAUCGGCCACAUUGGGACUGAGACACGGCCCAAACUCCUACGGGAGGCAGCAGUAGGGAAUCUUCCGCAAUGGACGAAAGUCUGACGGAGCAACGCCGCGUGAGUGAAGAAGGUUUUCGGAUCGUAAAACUCUGUUGUCAGAGAAGAACAAGUUGGAGAGUAACUGCUCCAGCCUCGACGGUAUCUGACCAGAAAGCCACGGCUAACUACGUGCCAGCAGCCGCCGUAAGAC